GCUGGAGUAGCUCAGUUGGUUAGAGUGUGUAGCUGUUAACUGUAAGGUUUAGGGUUCAAGCCCGUUCUCUAGCG